UACAGAGGUCUCAAGCGUUGUUCGGAUUCAUUGGGCGUAAAGGGCGCGUAGGCGGCGGGGUAAGUCGGGUGUGAAAUCUCAGAGCUCAACUCUGAAACUGCACUCGAUACUGCUCUGCUUGAGGACUGGAGAGGAGACUGGAAUUCACGGUGUAGCAGUGAAAUUCGUAGAUAUUCGCAAGAACACCAGUGGCGAAGGCGGCUCACUGGCCCGAUACUGACGCUGAGGCACGAAAGCGUGGGGAGCAAACAGG
rnacentral:rRNA from 1 species